UAUAUACAACUUUCAGCAACGGAUCUCUUGGCUCUCGCAUCGAUGAAGAACGCAGCGAAAUGCGAUAAGUAAUGUGAAUUGCAGAAUUCAGUGAAUCAUCGAAUCUUUGAACGCACCUUGCGCUCCUUGGUAUUCCGAGGAGCAUGCCUGUUUGAGUGUCAUGA
rnacentral:rRNA from 1 species